rnacentral:rRNA from 1 species
ACGAACGCUGGCGGCAUGCCUAACACAUGCAAGUCGAACGAGACCUUCGGGUCUAGUGGCGCACGGGUGCGUAACGCGUGGGAACCUGCCCUUAGGUUCGGAAUAACUCCCCGAAAGGGGUGCUAAUACCGGAUAAUGUCUUCGGACCAAAGAUUUAUCGCCUUUGGAUGGGCCCGCGUUGGAUUAGCUAGUUGGUAGGGUAAAAGCCUACCAAGGCGACGAUCCAUAGCUGGUCUGAGAGGAUGAUCAGCCACACUGGGACUGAGACACGGCCCAGACUCCUACGGGAGGCAGCAGUGGGGAAUAUUGGACACUGGGCGAAAGCCUGAUCCAGCAAUGCCGCGUGAGUGAUGAAGGCCUUAGGGUUGUAAAGCUCUUUUACCCGGGAUGAUAAUGACAGUACCGGGAGAAUAAGCUCCGGCUAACUCCGUG